GGGAAUAUUGCGCAAUGGAGGAAACUCUGACGCAGUGACGCCGCGUGCAGGAAGAAGGUUUUCGGAUUGUAAACUGCUUUAGACAGGGAAGAAAAAAGACAGUACCUGUAGAAUAAGCUCCGGCUAACUACGUGCCAGCAGCCGCGGUAAUACGUAGGGAGCAAGCGUUAUCCGGAUUUAUUGGGUGUAAAGGGUGCGUAGACGGAGAAGCAAGUUAGUUGUGAAAUCCCUCGGCUUAACUGAGGAACUGCAACUAAAACUACUUCCCUUGAGUGUUGGAGAGGAAAGUGGAAUUCCUAGUGUAGCGGUGAAAUGCGUAGAUAUUAGGAGGAACACCAGUGGCGAAGGCGGCCUGCUGGACUGUAACUGACGUUGAGGCUCGAAGGCGUGGGGAGCAAACAGG
rnacentral:rRNA from 1 species